CCUACGGGAGGCAGCAGUGGGGAAUAUUGGACAAUGGGGGGAACCCUGAACCAGCGACGCCGCGUGAGUGAAGAAGUAUUUCGGUAUGUAAAGCUCUAUCAGCAGGGAAGAAAGGAAUGACGGUACCUGACUAAGAAGCCCCGGCUAACUACGUGCCAGCAGCCGCGGUAAUACGUAGGGGGCAAGCGGUAUCCGGAUUUACUGGGUGUAAAGGGAGCGUAGACGGUUACGCAAGUCUGGAGUGAAAGGCGGGGGCCCAACCCCCGGACUGCUGUGGAAACUGUAUAACUGGAGUGGAGGAGAGGUAAGUGGAAUUCCUGGUGUAGCGGUGAAAUGCGUAGAUAUUAGGAGGAACACCAGUGGCGAAGGCGGCUUACUGGACUGUAACUGACGUUGAGGCUCGAAAGCGUGGGGAGCAAACAGGAUUAGAUACCCUGGUAGUC
rnacentral:rRNA from 1 species